CGGUAAACCGGCUGAUAACGGCCGCAGUGUGUGAAGCCCGCAGGCAUCGACUGUUUCCCGGUCAGCUGGUCCCCUUCAUCCGGUGCGUUUGAGCUCAGAGCUGCAGGCAGAGAGGUGAUGUAAGAGCAGGAGAGGAGCUUUAACCAGAGCACAGAGCACAGACAGCAGCCUGCAGGUGCUUCAUCACCAAAUCAAGACAUCUCACUGUAGCAGGACACGGUGCGGUCACAUGGUGCAGCCAGAGCAGCUACAACGCCAAGCUAACGGGAGAAGCCAGUCCUUUAAAGGCCGGAGGUUUCCCUGCUGUGGGAUGAUCGAAGCUUCAGAUCAGUCUUGGAUCACAUUUAAAAGUAAAUUCUACCAUAAAAACAAUCUGAAUUUAAUAACAGCCAUGCCAUUAACAUGACACUGAGAAAGAAAACAGCCUCUAACUCUGGUUUUAUUAUUGAAUUUAUUGUAAAAGUCUACACUCUGAAUAUAAGAUGGCCCCAGAAAUCCAGUACAGUCAGCAGAGUUUGGUGCUAUGAUGUUUAAUGUCCUCGACAGCUUCUGUAGUUUCAUGUUGUUAGCACCCGCUUAAAUCUGUACUGAAACAUAUUUUCAGCAUAUUAUAGAUAUAAACAUGUAAACAUCCCUGAACAAAUAUUAAUAAAAUAAAUACACUGAUGAGGGAAGACA
rnacentral:lncRNA from 1 species